rnacentral:rRNA from 1 species
GACGAACGCUGGCGGCGUGCCUAACACAUGCAAGUCGAACGAGGUCCAUCCUUCGGGAGAAGACCUAGUGGCGAACGGGUGAGUAACACGUGAGGAACCUGCCCCGAAGACCGGGAUAACCCUCCGAAAGGAGAGCUAAUACCGGAUACCCCCACCGAGCCGCAUGGUUUGGUGAGGAAAUGGAUUCCGCUUCGGGAGGGCCUCGCGGCCUAUCAGCGAGUUGGUGGGGUAACGGCCCACCAAGGCAUCGCAGGGUAGCUGGUCUGGGAGGACGAUCGGCCACACUGGGACUGAGACCCGGCCCAGACUCGUACGGGAGGCAGCAGUGGGGAAUGUUGCGCAAUGGGCGAAAGCCUGACGCAGCAACGCCGCGUGGGGGAUGAAGGCUCUCGGGUUGUAAACCCCUUUCAGCAGGGACGAGUCAAGACGGUACCUGCAGAAGAAGCCCCGGCUAACUACGUGCCAGCAGCCGCCGUAAUAC